AUUGAACGCUGGCGGCAGGCCUAACACAUGCAAGUCGAGCGGAUGAGGGUAGCUUGCUACCUGAUUCAGCGGCGGACGGGUGAGUAAUGCCUAGGAAUCUGCCCGAUAGUGGGGGACAACGUUUCGAAAGGAACGCUAAUACCGCAUACGUCCUACGGGAGAAAGUGGGGGAUCUUCGGACCUCACGCUAUCGGAUGAGCCUAGGUCGGAUUAGCUAGUUGGUGAGGUAAUGGCUCACAAAGGCUACGAUCCGUAACUGGUCUGAGAGGAUGAUCAGUCACACUGGAACUGAGACACGGUCCAGACUCCUACGGGAGGCAGCAGUGGGGAAUAUUGGACAAUGGGCGAAAGCCUGAUCCAGCCAUGCCGCGUGUGUGAAGAAGGUCUUCGGAUUGUAAAGCACUUUAAGUUGGGAGGAAGGGCUGUAGGCUAAUAUCCUGCAGUUUUGACGUUACCAACAGAAUAAGCACCGGCUAACUUCGUGCCAGCAGCAGCCGCAGUAA
rnacentral:rRNA from 1 species